rnacentral:rRNA from 1 species
UGAGCUUGAUCCUGGCUCAGGAUGAACGCUAGCGGCAGGCUUAACACAUGCAAGUCGAGGGGUAGAGCUCUUCGGAGCUAGAGACCGGCGCACGGGUGCGUAACGCGUAUGCAAUCUGCCUUUCACAGAGGGAUAGCCCAGAGAAAUUUGGAUUAAUACCUCAUAGUAUUAUGACUUGGCAUCGAGAUGUAAUUAAAGUCACAACGGUGAAAGAUGAGCAUGCGUCCCAUUAGCUAGUUGGUAAGGUAACGGCUUACCAAGGCAACGAUGGGUAGGGGUCCUGAGAGGGAGAUCCCCCACACUGGUACUGAGACACGGACCAGACUCCUACGGGAGGCAGCAGUGAGGAAUAUUGGACAAUGGGCGCAAGCCUGAUCCAGCCAUGCCGCGUGCAGGAUGACGGUCCUAUGGAUUGUAAACUGCUUUUGUACGAGAAGAAACACUCCUAUGUAUAGGAGCUGA